rnacentral:pre_miRNA from 10 species
AAUUUUGAAUUUACUAGGUGGGUGUAGAUACAAAAUUUACAGCAUGUUUUGUUGUAAAUUUUGUAUUUACACCCACCCAGUAAAUUCAAAA